rfam:Phlebotomus papatasi Contig3957.3, whole genome shotgun sequence.
GUUGCCGGAGCCGUGAGCCGUGCCUUCUGGCGAUGGCAGCAUAAGUAUGUGCAGCCCAAGAGGAAUGGGAUUGCUCCCUUCUUCCAGCUCACUGUGAGUGCUAUGAUCUUCUUCUAUGCCAUCAACUACGGAAAACUCAGUAAGUUGACCAUUAAGUGAAAUUUGGGCUGUUUUAUUGAGGUUUUGGAUGAUUUUUCAGAGCGCCACAGGAACUACAA